rnacentral:rRNA from 1 species
CAGUCGCCGCGGUAAUACAGAGGGUGCGAGCGUUAAUCGGAUUUACUGGGCGUAAAGCGUGCGUAGGCGGCUUUUUAAGUCGGAUGUGAAAUCCCUGAGCUUAACUUAGGAAUUGCAUUCGAUACUGGGAAGCUAGAGUAUGGGAUAGGAUGGUAGAAUUCCAGGUGUAGCGGUGAAAUGCGUAGAGAUCUGGAGGAAUACCGAUGGCGAAGGCAGCCAUCUGGCCUAAUACUGACGCUGAGGUACGAAAGCAUGGGGAGCAAACAGGAUUAGAUACCCCGGUAGUCCCUGUCUCUUAUAC